CUUUUUUUCAUAGUUAUUAUUAAAAAAUAUUUUAUAAAAAAAUCAAUAUCAUGAUUUGGUUUAAAAAAGGUUAAAACACAACUACAAAAGCAUAGAUGUUACAACGUCUGGUCUUAUGUUCCGUCGUUUUUACGGGAUUAAUAAUUCAAGCAAGUUUUAAUAUCAAAUGCUCGUCAGAUAAAACCACUUUCUACAGCGAAAUAGAAGAAAUGGUGCUCUCGUGCAAAGACUUUUGUAGCUGCGGUGAUUCAUCUGUCUUUCAUAUUGGCUGUAGAGAAUGUUGUUGUUUUUCAUCAAUGUAUUCUCACAAAAAUUAAAAAAUUCGCAAACUUUUA